rnacentral:rRNA from 1 species
UACGUAGGGUGCAGGCGUUAUUCGGAUUUACUGGGCGUAAAGCGUGCGCAGGCGGUUUCUUAAGUCAGAUGUGAAAGCCCCGGGCUUAACCUGGGAACUGCGUUUGAAACUGGGAGACUUGAGUGUGGCAGAGGGGGGUGGAAUUCCACGUGUAGCAGUGAAAUGCGUAGAUAUGUGGAGGAACACCGAUGGCGAAGGCAGCCCCCUGGGUUAACACUGACGCUCAUGCACGAAAGCGUGGGGAGCAAACAGG